CCCCAGGUCCCAUGACUGUACCCCCCAGGGUCCCAUGACAGUGCCCCCCAGGGUCCCAUGACAGUGCCCCCCAGGGUCCCAUGACUGUGCCCCUCAGGUCCCAUGACAGUGCCCUCAGGGUCCCAUGACAGUGCCCCCAGGGUACCAGGACAGUGCCCUCCAGGGUCCAUGACUGUACCCCCAGGGUCCCAUGACAGUCCCCCAGGUCGCAUGACAGUGCCCCCCAGGGUCCCAUGACACUGCCCCCAGGGUGCCGUGAUGGUGCCCCCAGGGCUGAGGGAGUGGUCCUGCAGGUCUGAUGAGAUCCCUUCAGGCGGGAGGCCAGUGGUGUCCCCAGGCAGGCCCCAGUGACCCCACCUGCCUGGCCUCGCUCUCUGCUCUCCUGGCCUGUGUGCGUGUCCUCUGUGGGGCUCCGUCAUGGACCCUGGGGUGGGGCUCAGGCUUCACUGUCUGAGUGACAGCCGUCCUGGCCUUGGGCCCCAUGGCCCUCUGGGAGCUGCCCCCCCAGAAGCCCCAGCUGUGGGGGAAGGACAGGACGGGCGGGUGGCGGGCCCUCACCCCUGGGGCUCCCCAAGCCUUCGCGGCUCCCUCUGCAGACGCUUCUGCUCCUGGGGUGUUUGCUCUGGGCGCACCUGGCUGAGAGCACUGGUUACCCUGCAUGAGGACCGGGGUGCGAGCCCCCACUCCCCACCUGCAGGGGAAGCUUCCUGAGCAGUGGGGUAGGGCCCACCCUCUCUCUCUCUCUCUCUCUCUCUCUCUUUCUCUCCAUCCUAGCAAACAGAAAAGCUUUUGUCUUCGUUUUUAACCCAGAGUUGAUCAGUGCUCUGGUCUUCAAAUAAAAGUGCCGCUCAGAG